UGGGGAAUUUUGGACAAUGGGGGAAACCCUGAUCCAGCCAUCCCGCGUGUGCGAUGAAGGCCUUCGGGUUGUAAAGCACUUCUGGCAGGAAAGAAACGUCAUGGGUUAAUACCCCGUGAAACUGACGGUACCUGUAGAAUAAGCACCGGCUAACUACGUGCCAGCAGCCGCGGUAAUACGUAGGGUGCAAGCGUUAAUCGGAAUUACUGGGCGUAAAGCGUGCGCAGGCGGUUCGGAAAGAAAGAUGUGAAAUCCCAGAGCUCAACUUUGGAACUGCAUUUUUAACUGCCGGGCUAGAGUGUGUCAGAGGGGGGUGGAAUUCCGCGUGUAGCAGUGAAAUGCGUAGGUAUGCGGAGGAACACCGAUGGCGAAGGCAGCCUCCUGGGAUAACACUGACGCUCAUGCACGAAAGCGUGGGGAGCAAACAGG
rnacentral:rRNA from 1 species